UCUACUUAUCGUAUUUUUGCC
rnacentral:siRNA from 1 species